AUCAAAGUCCCCACUUUUGCAUGCUGCAUAAAGUGCACCUAAAAACUCUUGUGGAAUGACCCCAGACACACUUAAUAGGUCCUUAGACGAAAUUGUUGAUCCAAAUAAGCGAGCAGCUCCUUGCAAGUAUGUGAUAGCCCGACGAAGAUCACCUUGUGAUAUAGAGCUUAAGGUUGAAAGAGCCUCUGCAUCCAGACUAAGGCCUUCUUCAUUGCAAAUGUGCAAUAUACGACUGCUCACAAUUUCUUCUGAAAGUGGCUUGAACCUAAAUUUGGCACAUCUUGAAGCAAGAGGCUCUAUGAUCCUGCUGAUAUAAUUGCAUAAGAAAAAGAAUCUCGUAACUUUGGAGUAAGUUUCCAUCGUGCGUCUCAGAGCAUUCUGAGCAUCUUCAGUCAUUGAAUCUGCCUCAUCUAGUAUAAUGAUCUUAUAUGGUGGACAAGGGUAAGCCCCUCCAUGCUGACCAGAACGUACAGCCACAGCAGCAAAAUCCUUUAUCUUAGUCCGGACAACAUUGAUACCACGAUCAUCACUUGCAUUUA
rnacentral:misc_RNA from 1 species